AGUGAACGCUGGCGGUAGGCCUAACACGUGCAAGUCGAACGGCAGCACAGUAAGAGCUUGCUCUUACGGGUGGCGAGUGGCGGACGGGUGAGGAAUACAUCGGAAUCUACUUUUUCGUGGGGGAUAACGUAGGGAAACUUACGCUAAUACCGCAUACGACCUACGGGUGAAAGCAGGGGAUCUUCGGACCUUGCGCGAUUGAAUGAGCCGAUGUCGGAUUAGCUAGUUGGCGGGGUAAAGGCCCACCAAGGCGACGAUCCGUAGCUGGUCUGAGAGGAUGAUCAGCCACACUGGAACUGAGACACGGUCCAGACUCCUACGGGAGGCAGCAGUGGGGAAUAUUGGACAAUGGGCGCAAGCCUGAUCCAGCCAUACCGCGUGGGUGAAGAAGGCCUUCGGGUUGUAAAGCCCUUUUGUUGGGAAAGAAAAGCAGCAGGUUAAUACCCCGCUGUUCUGACGGUAACCAAAGAAUAAGCACCGGCUAACUUCGUG
rnacentral:rRNA from 1 species